rnacentral:rRNA from 1 species
AUACGGAGAGGGCGAGCGUUGUUCGGAUUUACUGGGCGUAAAGGGCAUGUAGGUGUCCCGAUAAGCUCUGGGUGAAAUCUCCGCGCUCAACGCGGAAACGAAUCAGAGAACUAUCGGGAUUGAGUUCAGGAGAAGAGAGUGGAAUUCUCAGUGUAGCGGUGAAAUGCGUAGCUAUUGAGAAGCACACCAGAGGCGAAGGCGGCUCUCUAUUCUGAACCUGACACUCAAAUGCGAAAGCGUGGGGAGCGAAUGGGAUUAGAAACCCCAGUAGUCC